AUAGGACUUCCGGGAGGGCGUGAGUGCUGCUGCUUGUUAUUCUUGGGGUCGGCAUUAUGCUGAUUGUCGGGUUGGAGCAAAGGGGAGGGACCCUUGGGACUUGGCUCUGUUUCCUGAGCAGGUGGAAGAGCCCAGGCCUCCAGCUAUGCAAUUGCUUUGGCCGUAGCCGUCGCUAGUUCCUCUUGCCGCCGUGAACUGAGUGCCUGCUGUGCCAGCAGAAAGCAGAAGGCGCCAGGCCCCUGGGAGCCUGCGUUCUAGUCAGUGAGAUGCUACGCAAGUGAUUCAGGUCUAACCACAUGUGAUUACAGUUAGGAAGGGGGUCGGUGGCUAACGAGGUGGUGCUGAUUUAGCCUGUGUUUGGGGAGGGCUUCUGUGAUACGUUUCAGCUGAGCCCUAAAGGAUGCCAAGGAGCUGGGCCUGGAAGAGCACCCCAGGCAGCUGGCUCAGCAAGUGCAAAGGCAGGAGUGGGUCUACUGUGUCCACGGAGUGGCUGAAGUGUCAGAGCUGGGGUGUGGGGUGCAGACACUUUGUGGGGGCCCAGUUUUGCCCUAGGAGCAAUUGGAGGCUGCUAAGCAAGGGAGCGACUUUCUCCAGCUGUCCUCGGGGGAAAUGGAUUGGAGGGCAGGUUUGGCUGCCAGGACGCUGGAGCCCAGCUGGGGCCCUCUGCUCAGCCUGAGCUCCCCUGACCAGCAAGCAGCCUCUGCAUGGGGAGAGGCUGGUGCCCCAGCACGCCCACUGCAGCACUGCCCGAACCACGGCCAGCCAGCAGUGCCCUCUGACUCAGGCACUCAAGGGUGGAGCCAGCCUUCCUAGCUGGCCUGGCCCUGCCCCAGGGAAGGCCUGCCAACCUCGGGGGUCCCCGGUCUGCCACGGUCUCGGUGUGGAAAAGGCCUUUCAGUCACACAGGUUUUUGCAUUGGCUGCACUGGGUCUCCCACCACGGGCCCACCUCCUUUAUUAAUGCCUGAGGCGAGCCUUCAAACACCUUUAUUUAUUAAUGCCUGGGUCCUUCCCUUCAAACACCUUUAGUCUCCCUAGAGUCUGGCCUCCCACUGCCAGCUGCGGCUGCCUCCCUGCUGCGGCAGCCCCAACCCUGGCAGAGGACCACGCGGGGGGAAAAUGGAGCUUGGGCUACCUGAUGGAGUGAGUAGCACCACAGAACCCGGGGGAGCCUGCUGCUCUGCCGCAGCUGCUGUUUCUGAUGCUCCGGAGCCGUAGUGCCUGCCUUCUCCGGUACAGACGCUGGUAAGUGACUCAGGCCCUCGUCCCCAGAAGCUGCACGGUUUUCUGCGCGGACACUGGGUAGGAGAGGUGGAAUUCGAGGGUAGGAUCCUGGCUCUCACAAACUGCUGGGUGCCCUCAGGCAAGUCCCGUUCAUCUGAGCCCCAGGUUCCUAAAGGGGGGAGUACCUGGCCUAUAUGGCCCCUGACACGGGUAUUUGGGCGCUGCGCUGGGAAGCUCCCUGCCCGGAAUCUAAAUCACUUCUGCCCCAGCAGGCUGGAUUCAGGAAGUCCCCGAGUUCCUCACCGCCCACCCCCAGUUCAGGGCUGGGCUGGACUCGGGGGGUAGCUGGACUCUGCCAGGCUGUGUUUAACCGGCAGCAGAACCAUGGGCUGGCAUUGUGCCUCCUGGCCGCAAGGCUCGGCUGAGCCCCCUGGGGCAGGCAGGGGGCGCCCGCACGCCCAGGGACAGGCGCCAACCCGGCCUGGAGCUGACGGUGGGAAGCCGGCGCGGCUGUGCUCCCGAAGAGGCGCGGGGGAAGGCGGAGGGCAGUAUAAUUGCUAGGGCUUUCCCUGCCCUCUUCUAGACGCGCAGUUUGAGUCCAGACUCCACAGGCUGCACCGCCUGCAGGUAGCGCCCCAACCCCGCAGGCGCCGCGCGUCUGGGAACCCGAAUCCGAAUCUGCGCUCGGCUCGUGCGGGCUCGGUUGUCGCGUUGCAUCUUGGGCCUUGUGGUUUUCUAGGAUCGUGGGCGGUGCCGGUUCGGGGUGCGCGGCUGUUGGGUGACAGCUGGGCGCGAACCGCCUUCCCCUUUGCGCACGCCCCUCCCGCUUCGCAACGACGCCUCUGAGCGUCGCGAUGGGCUCGGCCCCGGCGCGGGUCAGCGAUUGGCGGAGGAGCGGGGCCCAGGGGCGCGGCUUCCCGCGGAUUGGUUGGGUGCGGCGGGGCGGGCCCGCGCAUGCACUUAAGGGGCGGUGUCUGGGCGGCGGUGGGUAGUGCCAAGAUGUCGACCGUGGCAGUCCCGGAGCUGAAGCAGAUCAGCCGGGUGGAGGCGAUGCGUCUUGGGCCGGGCUGGAGCCAUUCGUGCCACGCCAUGCUGUACGCUGCAAACCCCGGGCAGCUCUUCGGCCGCAUCCCUAUGCGCUUCUCGGUGCUGAUGCAGAUGCGUUUCGACGGGCUGCUGGGCUUUCCCGGGGGCUUCGUGGACCGGCGCUUCUGGUCAUUGGAGGACGGACUGAACCGGGUGCUGGGCCUGGGCCUGGGCUGCCUGCGCCUCACGGAGGCAGACUACUUAAGCUCACACCUGACCGAGGGCCCGCACCGCGUCGUGGCGCACCUGUACGCGCGGCAGCUGACGCUGGAGCAGCUGCACGCCGUGGAGAUCAGCGCGGUGCACUCGCGCGACCACGGCCUGGAGGUGGGGCCGCCGCCCGGGCCCCGCCCCCCGCCCCGGGGUUUGGCUCUGGCCCCGCGGAAGGCACCGAUGGGUGCUGGGACUUGUGCGUGUCCCACUGUACACCCAGAAGGACCGAGUUGGUGGCUUUCCCAACUUCCUGAGCAACGCUUUCAUCAGCACAGCCAAGUACCAGCUCCUCUUUGCCCUCAAGGUGCUCAAUAUGAUGCCGGAGGAAAAGCUGGCUGAGGCCUUGGCUGCAGCCACGGAAAAGCAGAAGAAGGCCCUGGAGAAGCUGCUCCCAUCUUCCUCCUGAGCACAGGCUGAAGGUGCCGCAAGGAGAUGGUCUGGCAGCACUGGCUGGAUGCGCAGGAUGCCAACGGCAGAGCCCCCAGGGCAGGAAGGUCAGCACGGGCCGUCUCUUCGACACUGUCCAGAAAGACGCCUCAGUGACGCUGACAGUCCCCACGGCGCCAGCCUGGCCUGGUAAGGAACUCAGUGCUCCCGGCCCUGCCCAGUGCCCCACCUUAGAGCCUCAACGGGGCGGCAGACACGCGUGGGCGAGGGCACCUUGCUCUGUAAAUAAAACACCUGCACCCUGCCUGUUUUCCAGGACGUGCUUUGCUCUCCGAGUAGCUUUCUGGGACCAUGGGGGCUCUGACACAGGUGGCCCUCCACACAGAGGGAUAAGUGGGACAUCGGGGGUCGCCCGGUUGGCCCCAUGCUGAGCACGGGGUUGAGGGCCCUGGCGGGGCUUCCUCUUGGUGUGGCUGAGCAGCUGGUGCUGCAGGCUGAGUGACCAGACCCGAACCCCUCACCAGCCUAUCUUAAAUUUUAUUUUCCAGCAAAUGACAUAUGUUGCACAGGUGCCUGGUCCUCACCCAUCUGGGCGGACCUCUGUGUGGCGCCUGCGGUGUCUGGGGACAUGCUCCCCCAAGCCCUGCCUGCUCUGGGCCCUAUGCCCAGGUUUGGGACCAGAGGCCCUGGUCCCGCCUCGGUGUGGGCCUCGCUGCCCUUGCUCGCACCAGUCACAGCCCCGUCCUGCCUCUGUCUGCUGGCCGCUCCUGGGGCCCGGUCCUCUGGCCCUGGCCGCUGCAGCCGCUCGUUCACUGCCCUCCUGUCCUCCGGGCUCACGGCUUCAGGGUGGAUCAGUCACCCCAUGUCAGAUUCUGAGGAGGGAAGGGAAGGUGUGAGGGAGUGCUCACUCCGCCAUGCGGCGUCCCAGCGUCCUAGGCCGACACUCACCGUCCCCCCGGCUAAGGCUCCCGCCAGUUCUCCCUCCCAUUCAGCACCUGCAGCUUCUCCAGACUCUGGGUCACGGAGCACAGCACUCGCCCUGCGGCCACGAACAGACAGUUAGCGCUCUGCAAGUCCGGGGGGCUGGGGGCACGGGCAGGGGCAAGGUGUGGGCUCGGACUCACCCAUCUCCCGGACGCGGUCCUCGAGGGCUCCCGCCAGCUCCGCGAGGCUCAGGGCCCGCAGGGAGGCCUGCCAGCCUCUGGGGUCUGCAGGGCGGAGGGCUGGGUGGGCCUGGGGUCUGCGUGCCCAAAGGCCCCGCCCCAUCUUCCCAAGUCACCCCCUUGGUCAGCGUGUUCUCCUCCUGCCUGCAGAGGACCCUGCCCCGGGGUGGCCUAGCCCGGGGCUGCACAAGUCCCUUGAGCUCUUGGACUGGCAGCCACGGCCCGGAGGCCCCCACGAGGGACAGCACAGACACGUGUGGGCUUGGGCGCGUGAGGGGACCUGGGUGUCGGUGUGUGAUGACCACGCCGAGACGAGGGGAGAACCCGGCCAGGGGACGCUGCUCUCCUUACCCGCUGUGGGGAGGGCUGGGCCCGUGGCCGCCCCGAGUGGGGGCCCGUCCUGCUGCACUCGGGCUGAAAGCUCAGCUUGACAGGCUCUGCGGGACGUGAAACCCAGCACCGGUCAGGGGAGGCCUGGCGAGGGCGGACACCUCCUCCGAGGACGAGGUGGGUUCACGCCGUGAGGCCGCGCCGAGAAGGCCCUGCACAAGGCGUGCAGGUUCUCGGGCCCCUCUGCCGCCGGGUCUGCCCUACAAGGAGGAACGGCCGGAGUGAAGUGGCGGGGCAGGGGGACCCCAGGAGGCCCUGAAAACGACCCGGAGCUUGAAGAACCUGGAGCAAAGAGGGACUCGCCUGGCUCUGGCCCACGUGGGCAGCCUGGAUGCUCACUCACCGCAGCUGGUCCAGGACAAGAGCGGCGUCCCGGGCGAGGGCCCGGCUCUCUUGCAGCUGCGUGUCAACGUCCUUGCGGGCGCUGUCCUGCUCAAGGAGGCAGCUUUCCACCACGGCCCGCAGCUCCUGCUCCUGCGACACCUGGCCCCGCAUGGCCUCCACCUCCUCACAGCGCUGCAGCGGGAAAGGGGGCAGGCGGGGCUGGGUGAGCAGGCAGCAGGCACAGGGACACCAGGCUACAACUGCUGGGCUGGGUGCCCCAGCCCACGUUAGGUGUCCGUCCGCCUGCCACCCUCUCCUGGCCCAAGGCGGCCUGUCUCCACCUGGAGCCUCCCCUGCUCUGGGGCCUCCCUGCGAGCUGCGCUGCCACCCGCUGCCUUCACCCUCCCUCCUCUCUGUGCAUGGCUGAGCCUUCGUCUGCCACCUUCCUGCCACCUCCCUGGCCGUGUCCUCUGCACACAGCCCACUCGCCAUCUCCGCGCGCACUGACCUUGUGCAGCUGGAUGGCGAGCUCCUGCAUCUCGGCUUCCAGCCGGUCGGCAUAGGCCAGCUCCAGGGCAUCACUCGGGGGGCGGGCGCUGCUGUGCCAGCGGGCGAUGGCAGAGGUCAUCUUCCUCUUGGGCCCAAACAAGCUGCAGCAGGAAUGAGGACACAGCUCAGCACACGGAGGCUCCACAGGCUGUCCUCGAGCAAGACCAACGCCUGGGAAGAGCCCAGCUUUGAUGGGAGAGAAGCCCCCAGGCCCCAGGGCAGAGUAUCAUGAGGCAUCGUAACCCCGCCCGGCUGCCUUCAUGGGACAGGGAGCUGGGGCCACCAGCCCCAGGCUGUGGACACCCAUCUGCCAACUUGGGACCCUUUCAAGAGUGGGUGGGAAACACCGAGGUACCCUACGCCCGGCUACAUCCGCCAGGCCAGCUCGGGGCCCCGGGGGUGGAGGAGUGCUGGGCGCAGGCAGAGCGCUGUCUCUCGGUCCGGAAGCUGCUCCCGGGCCUCCUGGUCACCCCCUCCCACUCACGUGAUGCCAAUUUCCUUCAGGUCGCUCUCGGUGAGGGUCAGAAAGAUGCGGAGGUCCACGUCCUGCUCCUCGAACACCUGCAGGUACUUCAGACAGCCGAUCUGCUCCAGCAGCGCGGCCAGGUCCUGGAGGGUGAGGAGCCAAGAUGUGAGCGAGGACAGGGACACGGGGACAAGACAAGACAGGCACUGAAGGGAGAGCCGCCUUACUUCCUGCUGCUGAGCAGGUGGCCGGUUCUGAGCCCUGCUGACACCAAGUGUGCAGAAAUACAGGCCAGCCCCUCCGUGUCCACCAGGGACAUGGGCAGCCCGCGGGGAUCGCUGGACCAGCGUCUUCACUUGAGCAGGGGCAGGUGCACUGCAGGCAGGCCUACGGCAGCGGCUUCUCUCAGCCUCUGCUGACCCAAGGCCAUUGCAUUUCGCCUUCACGUUGGGGGAGUUUUUGCUGGAUGCUGCCCUUUUUUGGGCUAUGCCUGCUGCAUAUACGUUUCCAGGGCCAAGGGAUCAAACUGGAGCCACUGCUGUGACCUCUGCCAGCACUGCAACAAUGCAGGAUCCUAAACCCGCUGUGCCAUGCGGGGACUUCUUGGAUGUCACGUCCCUGAUGGAGGUUUCGUUCGCGCCUCUGACUGUGUCAUGUCGUGUCUCCUGGUCUCCGUGGUUUCUAAGGAGACACAUGGUCUUAACCUCCCGGGACCCUCUUGGCUUGUUCAGAGUCGCUGGUCUCUUCUUCCAGGCGGCUUUGUUUUCUGACACUUCGUGAUACGUCCAGGGGUGGCUCUGAGUUUAACCACAGUAGAGCUUUCAGCUUACUGGAUGUGCAAAUGCAUUUUUGGAUCUAAUUUGAAGAUACAGCUGAUUUUUUCUUCUUUGGCCACACCCACAGCACAUGAAAGUUCCCAGGCCAGGGAUCAAAUCUGAGCCACAGGUGCAGCAAUACUGGAUCCUUAACCCACUCCCAGAUGUGACUAUUUUCAAACAUUUUUUAUGGCGUUCCCACAUGGCUCAGCAGUUUAAAAAGCCGAUGAGCAGAGUUCCCGUUGUGGCUCAACGGAAACCAAUCUGACUGGUAUUCAUGAGGAUACAGGUUCAAUCCCUGGCCUCACUCAUUGGGUUAAGGCUCUGGUGUUGCCUCAAGCUAUGGUUUAGGUCACAGACACGGCUCUGAUUCCACCCUUGGCCUGGGAACUUCCAUAUGCCAUGGAUGUGGCCCUAAAAAGAAAAUAACAAAACAAAAAUUUUUUCUGCUUUUCUCUUCCUCUUUCCCAGGAACACCAUGACAUACUUGUUACAUUUGCUGGUGUCUCAAAGGCAUUUUCCUUCAUUCUUUGUUUCUCAGACUGUAAAGCCUCAAGCUGAUCUAUGUUAAGUUUUCUGACUCUUUUGUGUGGUCAAAUCUGCUGUUGAAUCCCUCUAGCGAAAUUUUCACUUCUAUUAUUGUAUUUGCAACUCCAGAAUUUCUAUUUGUUUUUUGGGUUUUUUUUCAUGAGUCAACUAUGCAUAUUUCCGUCUAGCCUUUAAUUUUUUCUUUCCUUUUUUCUCUUAAGGCCAUACCCGCGACAUACGGAAGUUCCCAGGCUUGGGGUCAAACCAGAGUUGCAGGCCUAUGCCACAGCCACACCAGAUGUAUGCCACAGCUUCUGGCAACACCAGAUCCUUAACCCACUGAGCGAGGCCAGGGAUCGAACCCGCAUCAUCACAGACACUAUGUUGAGUUCUUAACCCAUCGAGCCCACAAUGGGAACUCCUUUUUUUUUUUUCCCAUCUUCAAAUUUUUUGGCUAUACCCACAGCAUGUGGAAGUUCCUGGGCCAGGGACUGAACCUGUGUCACAGCAAUUACCAGAGACACUGCAAUGGUGACACUGGAUCUUUAACCUGCUGAUCCCAAAGAAACUCCUAUGUGACUUAUUCUUAUUUCUAUCACUUUGAUAUUCGAUUUACAUGUAGGAUUUUUUUUUUUAAAAAAAACUCUUGGAACAUAUUUUAUUCUUUUUGUUUUCUGUUUUUUUACAAAGCCCAUGUUGAGCACUGAUCAGCAGAUUCUGGAAGCCAGGGAGCUGCUCUGCUAUGUGCGAAACCCCAACCCAGAGGCAGGUCUUGCAGAUGGUUUAGCCAGGCUCCCACCAAUGUGCGUGCAUGAAGGGUGAGGGGCAGCCACCUUCACAGCCACACCCCUGUCCCAACCCCUAUCCCAGGACGCAGUGGGAUGCACCGUGCCAGCCAUGGCAGGGGCAGGUGGGGACAGCAGGGGCCCAGCUGUCCAAGGCUCCACUGCCCUGCCCAUGGUCCCACCUGGGGGGACUCCGUCAAAAUCCCUCACCCCACUGGUUCCUCUGCCAAGCAUGUACGCUGGAUCUUGGAACAUGUUCUGAGAAGCUGAUUUAAGGUCUCCGGUCAGCAUGUGUUUGAGGCAUUGAGAGGUUAGCCGUUCGUCGUGUCUGGAAACACGGAGCACAGAGGGGCUGAGAGGAGAAAGCAGCAGAAGCACAGGCUUUGGGGGCCAGAGCUGUGCCACUUACACCUCAGGGAGCUGCUGUCUCAUCCCCGAGAAGGUGCUGAGCCAGAGCAGCGGAGACGAGAAAUGCAAAAAUCACGGCUCUCGUUAAGUCCUAAGUGCCACUGUCUCUGCCUCACAUGCAUCCCGUCGCUGUUGCCUGAAAGCAGCACUGGGCAACUGGUCCUGUGCUGCUGCCUGUGCUCAGGGAGGGCGAGCCGGGCGCGGAAGCCCAGGGCAGAGGGACAGCCUUCCUGUGCACAGGGACGGGGCGCAACUGCAGCCGGCCCCUCUCACUGUCAGGAAUCCGUUCAGCCCCAGGAGCUGGACGGCUCAUCUGGGGGAGAAACACCCCGCUUUUCUCUCAGCAACGCCUGGCCCGUCGGAAGUACAAAUAAAUGCCUCCAACCACA